ensembl:snRNA U6 U6 spliceosomal RNA
GUGCUUGCUUUGGCAGCACAUGUACGAAAAUUUGCAUAAUACGAAGAUUAGUGUGGCCCAGGUCCAAGGAUGACACACAAAUUCAUGAAGGGUUCCAUAUUUUU